GCCGGGCAUGAUGGCUCACGCCUGUAAUCCAAGCACUUGGAGGCCAAGGCGGGAGGAUCACCUGAGGUCAGGAGUUCAAGACCAGCCUGACCAACAUGGUGAAACCCUGUCUUAA
ensembl:misc_RNA Metazoa_SRP Metazoan signal recognition particle RNA